UGGGCUGCCCUUGCCUGACUCU
rnacentral:miRNA from 1 species